rnacentral:ribozyme from 14 species
CAAGAAGAAGAAGAAGAAGAAGAAGAAGAAGAAGUAGAAUCAUCAUUCGUAUGUUUCUGUCUCCAACCAACAUUAUUUGUU